UCCAGUCCGCGGGAAGAAAUGUCACAAU
rnacentral:sRNA from 1 species